AUACGGAGGGUGCGAGCGUUAAUCGGAAUUACUGGGCGUAAAGCGUGCGCAGGUGGUUUUGUAAGUCAGAUGUGAAAUCCCCGGGCUUAACCUGGGAACUGCGUUUGAAACUGCAAGGCUAGAGUGUGGCAGAGGGGGGUGGAAUUCCGCGUGUAGCAGUGAAAUGCGUAGAGAUGUGGAGGAACACCGAUGGCGAAGGCAGCCCCCUGGGUCAGCACUGACGCUCAGGCACGAAAGCAUGGGGAGCAAACAGGAUUAGAUACCCCGGUAGUCC
rnacentral:rRNA from 1 species